rnacentral:rRNA from 1 species
UGUCCUACGGGGGGCAGCAGUGGGGGAUAUUGCACAAUGGGGGGAACCCUGAUGCAGCGACGCCGCGUGGGCGAUGGAGUGCUUCGGUACGUAAAGCUCUAUCAGCAGGGAAGAAUAAUGACGGUACCUGACUAAGAAGCCCCGGCUAACUACGUGCCAGCAGCCGCGGUAAUACGUAGGGGGCAAGCGUUAUCCGGAUUUACUGGGUGUAAAGGGAGCGUAGACGGCUGUGCAAGUCUGAAGUGAAAUGCCGGGGCCCAACCCCGGAACUGCUUUGGAAACUGUACAGCUAGAGUGCAGGAGGG